GGUAUUGAAAUAAGAUUUUAAAUGAGUGCUAAGAGAAUGAUUAAACAAUUAAAAGCUUUCUUUAAUUAAAAAAUUAAAUUUAAUUUUUUUAGUGCAAAAGCAAAAAUAAAAUUUAGGGACAAGAAGACCCUAUGAAUUUUUAUUGUUAAUAAUUAAAAAUUAAAUUAUUAAUAAUUUAAUUGGGGCGAUAAAAAAAGAAUAAGUAUCUUUUUAGUUAUAAAAUAAGUUCCGUUUUUAGCGAUUAAAUGAAAUAAAUACUCUAGGGAUAACAGCGUAAUAAUUUUGGAUAGUUCAUAUAGAUAAAAUAGUUUGCGACCUCGAUGUUGGAUUAGGAUUCUUUUUUGGUGAAGAA
rnacentral:rRNA from 1 species